AGGCAUCCGUUCUACCGUUGUUUCACGCUUUUACGGGGUGUGAUUCUGUUUCCAUUUUUGGAGGUCGAGGAAAGAAAACUGCAUGGGAUGUAUGGAAUGUAUUUCCAGAGCUAACAUUAGCGUUGCAAGAGCUAAAUUUGUUGCCAGAAAGGAUUGAUUGUUCGUCCUUGCAGGUGAUUGAGCGAUAUGUGGUCUUCUUAUACGAUCGUACAAGCAAUCUUACCAGAGUCAAUGAAGCUAGACAAGAGUUGUUUGCAAAAAGUCCAGAACACUGGAUAACAUUCCACCGACCCAAGAAGCGUUGUUUCAGCACACCAAGUGUGCACUCCGUCAGGUUGGGGCUGGUACCGUGAUGAAAAUUCUUGGUUACCAAAGUGGACAAAUCUCCCUCAAGUUAAAGAUGCCUGUUAUGAACUUAUUCGUUGCGGAUGCAAAAGUUCAUGUUCUAGUCGUUGUAAAUGCGUCAAAGCACACUUAGUUUGUACUCGUUUGUGUAAUUGUGGGGUGAUUGUCAAUAACAUGAGGACAUUAAAACCAUUUUAUAUUACUGUUCUUCGUUAGGCGAUUUUCCAAUGUAUUUAAGAAUGAGCAAUAACACUAAACAAAAAUGCUGAGUCAGCACUUUUAAGACACUUUUAAUGUAGAAUAUUUCAGAAUUUAUUGCUCAUAAGCAAAAGUUGUAAUAUAGUUUUUCGAUCGUCUUUAGCUGUUGUAUAAGAAUAUCCAGGGAAAUUUGCAGAUCUCUCUGAACUUUAUUUUUUUUACUACCGACGACGUCAUCAAACAUGACAUUCGCAGAACUCGUUUUAGAUGUAAAUAUGGGCUGGCUCUAAAUCAAAAUUUUGUGUUUCUAGGCAUAGUAAGAAUGUGAGAAAGUUUCAUACUUGUAGCAUUCAAGUGAAGAGUUUUGUCAAUAACAGCUGUACUAUAUUGAGUUCUAA